CAAUAGCGUAUAUUAAAGUUGUUGCAGUUAAAAAGCUCGUAGUUGGAUUUGUGGCGUACGGUGUGUUCCGGGCACUUGUUGUCUGAGUAACCUGCUGUUGCCAUCCUUGGGUGGAACCUGUGUGGCAUUAGGUUGUCGUGCAGGGGAUGCCCAUCAUUUACUGUGAAAAAAUUAGAGUGUUCAAAGCAGGCUUAUGCCGUUGAAUAUAUUAGCAUGGAAUAAUGAGAUAGGACUUUUUUGCUAUUUUGUUGGUUUGCGCAAAGAGGUAAUGAUUAAUAGGGACAGUUGGGGGUAUUCGUAUUUCGUUGUCAGAGGUGAAAUUCUUGGAUUUCCGAAAGACGAACUACUGCGAAAGCAUUUACCAAGGAUGUUUUCAUUAA
rnacentral:rRNA from 1 species